CCUACGGGAGGCAGCAGUGAGGGAUAUUGGUCAAUGGGGGAAACACUGAACCAGCAAAGCCGCGUGAGGGAAGACGGUUUUCGGAUUGUUAACCUCUGUCCUCUGUGAAGAUAAUGCCGGUAGCCGAGGAGGAAGCUCCGGCUAACUACGUGCCAGCAGCCGCGGGAAUACGUAGGGAGCAAGCGUUGUCCGGCUUUACUGGGUGUAAAGGGUGCGUAGGCGGCCCUGCAAGUCCGGAGUGAAAUCCAUGGGCGUAACCCCUGAACUGCUGUUGAAACUGGAGGGCUUGAGAGCUGGAGAGGCAAGCGGAAUGCCGUGUGUAGCGGUGAAAUGCGGAGAUAUACGGAGGAACACCAGUUGCGAAGGCAGAUUGCUGGACAGUAACUGACGCUGAGGCGCGAAAGCGUGGGGAGCGAACAGGAUUAGAUACCCGAGUAGUC
rnacentral:rRNA from 1 species